UCUUCGCUAGUAUAUCGGUUAGUACACGCGCCUGUCAUGGUAAAAUGGUUUGGACACAUGGCGCGCGAAAGCUGGGUUCGACUCCCAGGCGAAGAG